rnacentral:rRNA from 1 species
GAUGAACGCUGGCGGCAUGCCUAACACAUGCAAGUCGAUCGGUAAGGCUCUUCGGAGUACACGAGAGGCGGACGGCUGAGUAACGCGUAGGAACACACCCUGCAGUGAGGGAUAAGACACCGAAAGGUGUUCUAAUACCGCAUACGGUCUUCGGAUUAAAGCAUUUAUGCGCUGAAGGAGUGGCCUGCGUCAUAUUAGAUAGUUGGUGAGGUAAUGGCUCACCAAGUCGAUGAUGUGUAGCUGGUCUGAGAGGAUGAUCAGCCAGACUGGAACUGAGACACGGUCCAGACUCCUACGGGAGGCAGCAGUGAGGAAUAUUUCACAAUGAGCGAAAGCUUGAUGGAGCAAUGCCGCGUGCAGGGUGAAGGCCCUCGGGUUGUAAACUGCUUUUAUAAGAGAAGAUUAUGACGGUAACUUAUGAAUAAGGGACGGCUAACUACGUG